GGUAUGGGAUGAGCUUGCGUCCGAUUAGCUAGUUGGCGGGGCAACGGCCCACCAAGGCGACGAUCGGUAGCCGGCCUGAGAGGGUGAUCGGCCACAUUGGGACUGAGAUACGGCCCAGACUCUUACGGGAGGCAGCAGUAGGGAAUAUUGCACAAUGGGGGAAACCCUGAUGCAGCAACGCCACGUGUGGGAAGAAGCAUUUCGGUGUGUAAACCACUGUCAUGAGGGAAUAAGGCCCGCCUCCGGACGGGAUUGAAUGUACCUUGAGAGGAAGCACCGGCAAACUUCGUGCCAGCAGCCGCGGUAAUACGAGGGGUGCAAGCGUUGUUCGGAAUUACUGGGCGUAAAGGGAGCGUAGGCGGAGAUUCAAGCGGAUUGUACAAUCCCGGGGCCCAACCCCGGCUCUGCAGUCCGAACUGGAUCUCUUGGAUAGUUCAGGGGCAGGC
rnacentral:rRNA from 1 species